GACGAACGCUGGCGGCGUGCUUAACACAUGCAAGUCGAACGGAAAGGCCCUGCUUUUGUGGGGUGCUCGAGUGGCGAACGGGUGAGUAACACGUGAGUAACCUGCCCUUGACUUUGGGAUAACUUCAGGAAACUGGGGCUAAUACCGGAUAGGAGCUCCUGCUGCAUGGUGGGGGUUGGAAAGUUUCGGCGGUUGGGGAUGGACACGCGGCUUAUCAGCUUGUUGGUGGGGUAGUGGCUUACCAAGGCUUUGACGGGUAGCCGGCAUGAGAGGGUGACCGGCCACAUUGGGACUGAGAUACGGCCCAGAGUACUACGGGAGGCAGAAGUGGGGAAUAUUGCACAAUGGGCGGAAGCCUGAUGCAGCAACGCCGCGUGCGGGAUGACGGCCUUCGGGUUGUAAACCGCUUUCGCAUGUGACGAAGCGUGAGUGACGGUAAUGGGUAAAGAAGCACCGGCUAACUACGUG
rnacentral:rRNA from 1 species